UUGAGGAAUAUUGGUCAAUGGCCGAACGGCUGAACCAGCAACUUGGAGGAAUGUAUAGGGAAAACUGGUAAAAUGUGAUGUACCUAAUAAUAUUAGUGAUUAAUAAAAUAUUAACUAAGUUAAUUAAAAUUCAAAGUAGGGUUUGAUAAUGACAAAUUUUGCUUAUGUCUUGACCAAGUCACGUGCCAGCAGUCGCGGUAAUACGUGGAAGAUAAGUGUUAUUCAUCUUUAACAGGUUUAAAGGGUACCUAGACAGUUAAUUAAACAUAAAAUUGUAGUAAUUAACUAGAGUUUAAUGUAAUAAAGAUUGAGUACGGUGAGUGUAGAGAUAAAAUUCUAUCAUACCACUUAGGAACUGGUAAAUGCGUAGGCAACUUUUAAAGUAAAAACUGACGUUAAGGGACGAAGGCUCGUAAGAAAAAACAGGAUUAGAUAACCUGGUAUUCGGGCUCAAAAUGAUGAUUGUUUUAUCUUAGAAUUACUUCCCUGCCUUAAUUGAAAGUGUAAGCACUCCACCUCAAGAGUAACGUGGCAACAUGGGAACUGAAAUCAUUAGACCGUUUCUGAAACUCGUAGUGAAGUAUGUUGUUUAAUUUGAUGAUCCACAAAUAACCUUACCACAAUUUGAAUUACUGCAAAAUUUUUUUGUAGUGACAAGCGUUGCACGGCUGUCUUUAGUUAAUGUUGUGAAACUGUGGUUAGAUCCAUUAAAUUGACGUAAGCCCUUACUUUAUUUAGUAUAAAGUAGUUCGCCGCUAUAUUGGUAGUGAUAUAAGGACUAAGACAAAUCAUCAUGGCCU
rnacentral:rRNA from 1 species